AAGUGACACUUGGUCGCUGCCAGGGAGGCGUGCCGCGCUUCGUGCCGUUCCAAGUUACCCUACUUCAGUCUGGAAAGAAGUUAAAACUGCCUAUAAAUCCAGACGACGAGGCUCUGAGCCUCCGAGGGCAGAACCCCGCGCGCCGUCAACCUUGAGGGGCAGGCAGCUGCCCGUGUUUGUGCGUGCGCACGCCCUUUACCUUCCACGCCUGGUCGCCGUCGAAGUCUCGGGCUCGCAAGAAGCGGACCAGGAAAGCAUCGGAAAGGGGAAAGGGGAAAAGCUGGACGUUGUCCUCCUCGACUCGGCGCCGCAGCACGACCACCGCGGCUUUCACGAGCGGGGAGCCGUCGGGCAACUCGUUGAGGUUCUCCUGCAGGGGACGCGGCUGCUCUUGGCUCAUGGCGCUUACCUGACCAAAGGAGAGAAGAAGGGGCCACCCUACAACAAACUAACUCGCCCUGACACGACACGGCUGGAACAGGAGGCUUCGGUUGUGCCGUUUCGUGCGGCCGCGCCACAUAAUAAAAACCAAGGGGAGAAACUGCUGCCAAACCCGCAGGCAAAAAAAAAAAGAGAGAGAGACGCCACACGAUCCGCCUCUCCAUAGCAAACAAUGUGUAAACCGCCAAGCCGGUCAACAAGCCGACCUUACACCUUGGCCGGCUCGGCUCCUGGCCAGGCUGCCUUUGCUCCUCCUGUGCCUCCCCCGUCGCAAAGGAAAGACGGGGGUCCCGGGCCUGACUUAAUGUGGAAAGCAUUGUGGGUAGAGAAGGGGCGAAGAGAACAUGUCCAGGCAGCCCUCACAAGCCUGUUGCAGUUGUUGUUGCUGCUGAGAGCAACAAGCCAGUUGGUGCAGCCACUUGAGUCAAAGCUUGUUGAUCAUGAGGUGGUAAAAACUAGAAAGUGAAGUUCACAAGGGAGACUCUGUGCAUGAGAAGGAGGACAGCAUGAAACAGUGCCAGUUGCCAACAGCCACAUCUGUAGAACAGCAAGUACCAUAGUUUGGCUUUGAGAAAGCUUGUACAUUUGUGAACCAGAUUGGGAGAAACUUCAUUGUAUGAUGCAAUUCCUGCCUUCCAGGGAUCAAAACUGAGAUCAGCUAUUUCCUCAUCCAAUGUGAAGAAACAUUUAAAGAGGGCACACCCUGAGAAGCUGAGAGCAAUUGAAGAAGCAAUAAAGGCAAGGAGACGUGGCCUUCCUGAACCAAUGCAUGACACCCCUCCUCCCAAAAUGCUGAAGCAGCAUCAGACAACCCUUGAGAGGUGGGGAUCUGGCAGGGAGCCUGUCACCCAGAGCAAUCUCGACAGGAGAAUCAUUGAUUUCAUUGUAGAGGAGACAUUACCACUUCAGACUGUGGACAAACCAUCAUUCAUUAAUCUGGUUCGCAUUGGACUCCCAAAAGAUCUCACCAUCAUAUGUGCCAAGACUCUGAGAGACAGAAUUGAGAAGAGAGCAUGCCACAUGAGAGAAACUCUUGCAAACCGAAUGGGUGCUGUGGCAUAUAUAGCAACCACUGCAGAAUGUUGGACCAAUGGCAAGAAGAGUUACUUUGGGGUAACAGCCCACUGGAUCAACCCAAUUACCCUGAAAUGUGAGGUCGGGGCCUUGGCUUGCAAGCUUCUGAAGGGGAACCAUACAUAUGAUGUCCUUGCAAAAGCACUGCAUGAUGUGCAUGUGCAGUACAGGAGUCACAACAAAGUUAUGUAUACUACUACAGACAAUGGUUCCAACUUUGUGAAAGCGUUUGAAGUUUUCAUGGCCACAGAACCAGCAGAAGCUGCAGACACCAGUGCAAAUGACUCCCAAAAGAUGAUGAUCAAAAUGAUGAUGAUGAUGAUAACCAGGAGGAGGAGGCUGAGGUGGAGUUUGUGCCCAUCUGUGAGAUCCUGGACACAGGACCUGAGGCAGAUGCAGAGGAAGAAGCUGCAGACUCAUCACACUAGAGAUGUUGAUGGUGGCGGUUCUUGCGUGACACAGCAUACGUUACUUUGGAGUUAAGUUGAGCAAGAAACUUCUCAGAUGCAUUAGAUCAGGUUAAGAGUCUUUAUUAAGACAUUAGGGCCAACAGGCUUAAGAGUAAAUACAUGUAGAGUUUCUUCAGUCACCCCCCCUUCUGUGCAUCUCUCUCCAAAGAUAAACACAGAAGACAACCUCUCAGUUCAGAGGCAAAAUACAGAAGAACAAACUUACAGACUCUGUUAGAACUUUCCCAGUUGCUAUCUCAUGUUACCAUGACAACGGCUGGCCUUGGAGUGUCUGCUCUCAAGCCAGCAAAGACAUAACAGUGUUACUUCUCCAAACUUGCAGGCUUUAUGGAAAACUACUAGAGACAGUAAUGCCUAUGGGUCACAGCCCAACAAGUCACACCCUCAACCUGAUGGCAACACAAGACAUAGAGGCCAUGCUUUCUGACUCCUCCAAAAGUAGCCCUCUUGGUUCUUUCAAGAAAGACUUUCAUUCCUUGAUGGGAAAGUGCAGCAAGUUGUGGUCCAAGCAGAAUCAGUCAGCACAGAUUGCUGGUACAUCCAUGCACAAUGUGGUGUGUAUCUGAAGGUACCGAACAAGACCAGGUGGAAUUCCACCUUUGAUGCAUUGAAGCAACUACAUGAGCUCCUGUCAACUGUGCCACUCAAAAUGAACACCAUAAUGGACCAGUGCUCCUUGUUCAGGAUUACAGCUGCUGAGACUGUAGUGGUGCAGGAAUAUACAGAGAUAAUGGGGCCACUAACCCAGUCCCUAUACAUCCUGCAAUGGGAGAAUGGCAUGGAAGGACUAGAAAACAAACCUGUGAGAUUUUCAGCUGUUUUCAGCUGUUGAGAGGUGUGCACGAAGCCCUACAAAAGUGGUUUGCAACUAUAUGAGAGGACAAGAGGCUUCUGGCAGCCUGCCUACACCCUCGCUUCAAACUAGAGUGGCUGGAAUUGUGCCAGGCAACCACCCAUAGCAACAAUUAAGAACAUUAGGGAAGCUGUUUUGGUGGAUUAUUCCAAGGGAAAUAUCUCAAGGGAUGCAUCUGAGGGCUUAAGGUGGUAGCUGGGCCUUUUCUUUCUGCAACUCCACAUCACAACCUUGGUGCUGCAGGGUAGUAGUAGUAGUAGUUUAUUACGGUCAAAGACCAGACUGAAUACACUCAGGGUCAAAUAAUCAUAAAACACAUAAUUAUGACAGGACACACAUUUUUUGUAUAAAAAUAAUAACUAAAAACCCAAACUCAGGUCUGUAUUGGCAGUUGAGUUAAUUGUUCUCUUCGAAGUGAAAUAGCAGCAGCACAAAAUAUCGCUACCUUAAUUGUGACCUGCGAAAUUUGGUCAGAUAAAAGAUAUCUGACAUGGAAAGCAGCGUCCCCACCUGGGAGACUUUGCGUGAUUGGGGUGAACAACAUGUGUCAGAGAUCAUUAUAAAAAGUACAGUCCAAUAGAACAUGUCCCACAAUCUCUACGGCACCCACUCCACAGGGGCAUAAUCGCUCGGCAUAGGAGAUUUUUUGAAAUCUGCCAUCUAAAAAGGCCGAGGGUAGUACAUUAAACUUGGCCAUCGUGAAUGCUUUCCGGAGCCUCGGGGUAGGAAGGGAAGCAAGGUAACAUGCAGGGGUAAAGGGUCCAGGGCAAGGUAUAACUCCAAAAUUGGGCACUGGUCGAGAACAAUAAUUUUGGAGUUCAGCAUCAAGGAUUCGUUGAGAGAUUGCCUCCAGCACCUUGGUAUGGCCUAACAAAAGCACAGCAGUAGCCGAAAAUCCUAGAAUGGAAAGUUUCAUAGUUAAAGUUUUUUUCCACCUCGACUGGAAGACGUCUGACAGGACAAGGGGCCAGACCCACAGGUAGAAACAGGAGUUUUAACCAGUACUUAAACUUAAGUGUCCAUAUACGGGCCUCUAUCGAGGGAAGCCCAGUUUCCAGGCGAAGGUAGGCAUUAGGGACGCAGGAUGGAAUGCCCAAAAUCAUCCUCAGGAAUUUGGUUUGGAUCACUUCAUAUGGCGUGUAUUUAUCAUAUACACUAAUCUGGCAGCCGUAUGUCAUUUGUGAGAUAACUUUGGCAACAAAGACUUGUAUGACAGGGAACAUGUUGCCCACCUUUGGUGAAAAAAAGGACAGGAGAGCCUUAAUGUUCCUCUGUGCAUUAGUAAUGACAGUUUUAGUUUGUAGUUGCCAUGAUCCCGUAGAAUGGAAACUUACUCCCAGGUACCUAAACGAUUUGUUCAAUUUGGCGGCCAUUUAAAUGUCAGUGGUGCUUCAGCUUCUUUUUGGUAAACACCGCUACCUUUGACUUGGCCUGGUUAAUUUCUAGCAGAUCUUUUUUGCAAUAGUUCCCAAGCUCCCUCAGCAGGCGACGCAGGCCAACACUUGUUAGAGAUAGAAGUACUGCAUCGUCAGCAUACAGGAGAACUGACAGGGGUUUAUUCUCCAGAGUGGGGUGAUGGGAGGAGACCGACGUCAAGCUGCUGACCAGGGAGUUGAUGUAAAAAUUGAACAGAGAGGGGGCCAAGAUACAGCCCUGUUUAACUCCCUUAAAAGUGGGAAUAGGUCUAGUCAGGCUACCGGAGUUAUUGCAUCUUAUGCGUGAGUAUUUUCAUGUAGCCGCCGAAUAAGUAAUAGCAGACCCCUGUUGAUGUUUGUGGCCUCAAAUUUUUCCCACAGUCUAUCUCUGUGUUACGCUGCAGCCAACUCAGAAGGGACAGGAAGGGGGGAGGCAUGAAUUUCAGGCGCCUCCACAGUCAGAAGAAGCAGAGUUGGGGAUUUUUGUGUCUGAGCAGGAGCGUGCGGGAGGGGGGCAACCUGCUCUUCAGCCAUUUCCCACGAGUAACGCCCUUUCCGAGGAGCUGAGCGCACCGCCCCAGUUGAGGCAGAGAACUUGUGGGAGGAAGCUUCAGAAGCAGUGCCAGCUCCUCCUUUCCCAAGCAGUUCCCAGGAGGAUUCCAGUGAGGCACCGCCUCUUGACCUCGAGCCUGUUGUUUGGGAGCAGGUGUCUUCGGAUGAGCAAGUGGAAGCACGGCCCCUGUCUCCUUGUUCCCGCCACCGCAAGAAACAGACAGGGCAAAGACAGGAGUUACGAAGGAGUCAGAGAUUACGUUCGAAAACAUUUCCUAUAUAAGCCUGCUGCUCCCAGGGGGGGGGGGUCAUUGAAUCAACUUCCUUCACACGCUGCAGAGCAUGUCUAGAGUUUAGUUAGGGACUUUAGUGAGUUAGCAUAGGGUUUCCUAUGAAGCGCAAUGCUUUUGAUGUAUCCAUUACUCUAAUAAAACGAGAUU